rnacentral:rRNA from 1 species
UACGAAGGGGGCUAGCGUUGCUCGGAAUUACUGGGCGUAAAGCGCACGUAGGCGGCUUCUUAAGUCAGGGGCGAAAUCCUGGAGCUCAACUCCAGAACUGCCUUUGAUACUGAGGAUCUUGAGUUCGGGAGAGGUGAGUGGAACUGCGAGUGUAGAGGUGAAAUUCGUAGAUAUUCGCAAGAACACCAGUGGCGAAGGCGGCUCACUGGCCCGAUACUGACGCUGAGGCACGAAAGCGUGGGGAGCAAACAGG